rnacentral:rRNA from 1 species
UACGGAGGAUCCAAGCGUUAUCCGGAAUCAUUGGGUUUAAAGGGUCCGUAGGCGGUCUUAUAAGUCAGUGGUGAAAGCCCAUCGCUCAACGAUGGAACUGCCAUUGAUACUGUAAGACUUGAAUUUUUGUGCAGUAACUAGAAUAUGUAGUGUAGCGGUGAAAUGCUUAGAUAUUACAUGGAAUACCAAUUGCGAAGGCAGGUUACUAACAAACGAUUGACGCUGAUGGACGAAAGCGUGGGGAGCGAACAGGAUUAGAUACCCUGGUAGUCCACGCCGGAAACGAUUGAUACUAGCUGUUCGGAGCAAUCUGAGUGGCUAAGCGAAAGUGAUAAGUGAUCCACCUGGGGAGUACGACCGCAAGGUUGAA